rnacentral:tRNA from 1 species
UGGGCUAUAGCCAAGCGGUAAGGCACCGGACUUUGACUCCGUCACUCGCAGGUUCGAUUCCUGCUAGCCCAGCCA